ensembl:lncRNA
AGAUCUCAGUGUGCUCCCAGCUGUGUGUCAGUUAUUAGGUCCAUCAGGCCUCAGUGGGGGACUGCAGUGUGUUGAACACCAGCUGGACAAUAGCAGCCAAGGCCUUGCCAUGAAGUCACCCAUGGGGAUCAGCCUCAGUGAGGCUGCUUCUUCCUGUAAAUAUUUCCUUUCCUGAAGUGCUUUGAAGGAGAAGAGGCAUUUCUCUGAGACCAGUGGGUCAGCAGGUAGCACCAAGUGAAGACUGGAGAGACAAAGUUUAUCUCCUCUCCAGAGAAAACUGUUAAAUAAGGUCUUGUACAGGGGACAAGCACCACAAGAGGAUGCAAAGAGCACAUGGAGGGAGAAAGGAAGCAAAGAAACAGCAGCGAACAUAAGGAGGUCUGAAGGUUUGGCUCAAGUCCUCAGCAGCAUUGCUCUUGCUUAAUGUGAAACUUGGAAGCAACCCUGGGUAAACAAGCCAGGCUAAUAUUCUACAGGCUGAUCAUAACUACUUGAAGGAGAAGAGCACCUGUCUUGGCAGUAUAACCCAACCUGAAGCUCAGAGACUGAGGAACAAUUCCACCCACUAACACGGAAUUUGAAACAGCAGCCUCCACAGCCUCUACUUUCAUGUUCACCACUUAUCUGAUGAUAGAUUUUCAGUUUGUGAUUUCUCCAUCUCUGGUGUCUCCAAAACCACAUUGAUUGCCAGAAACUAUUUAUGUUGUUGUUGUUGUUUUUACAUCUCAUAUCCUAGUAAUUAAUCCUAAUGAGAUAUAGUUCCAAUUGUUUACUUAGAUUUUUGGACUUAGCAACUCUUAAGCU